AUUAGGAAGCCCGCCCACUAAGGAGUCAGCUAGAUGCCCUGAAUGAGGUAGAAAAGUAUUCCCAGAUGUGUGUUCCCCCGCUCCAACCGCUCCCCACCACCCCCAGCAGAACCAUCAAGAGAGGAGGCUGGGCAACGCAGAGGAAAUAAGACAUUUUCAAAGACACACGCCAGAGUUGCGGAAUUGCUAGUGCUGUCAAGGUAAAUUUUAUUCAAGGACUUCUUUUUACAUAAAAAGGGCCAGUUAGAGUUAUUUGUGUUUCAAAUUUAUUUUAUUUUUCUUUAUUAAAGUAUAAAAAGAUACAUAAUUUGCCUUAAGUCUUUAGGUUCAAUUUGCAAAUCUCAUCUAUUUCUAAAACGAGUAAAUGUUAUAUAAAACAGAACAGGUUUUGCAGGGAACUUGGAUUAGCGUUUGAUGAACUCAAGUUACACAAAGUAAAUUCCCCUUAAAACAACCAAUCUCAUUUUGAAAACUUAAUUAAAUUCCCUUAAUUUUAAACUUCAUUUAUAAAUCAAAGUACCCUAUCUCAUAUGCCUGAGUGGGUAAAUUUAUGAGCUUAAGCAAAAUCUUUCCAAGUUCUGAACAAAUCUUUAAAGUUUAAAUAAAUUAAAAUGACAAAUAUAACAAGUCUUAAAUUCUUUUAAGCAUGCCAAUACUGAUUACAAACUUACUGGUAUGCAUUUUGACAAGAAUGAAAAAUUACAAGAAUCAAUUGCAUGUUUAAAAUUGGAAUCAAGAGGCUGAUUUCUCAGAUUUCAUUUCAAGCCUUCUUAUUCUAAGUGUGGUCAGAGGGGCAGCAGCAUGGGAACACCUGGAGCUCAUCAGGAAUGUGGACUCUCAGGUCCCACCAGGAACUACUGACUCAGAGUCUAUAGCAUUAGUCAAAGAGAGGGCAGGAAAGGGGUAUUUCCUUCAGUUUUUGAGCUGAUAUAGGUGCCAGGGUGAUAUGGUCCGUCGAUUCAUCCAUUUUUCCUUCUCUUUCUUCGGUUUUAGUAGCAUACAACAAUCCAGAAAGCAAAUCAUAUCUUCAAUCUCAUAUUAAAGUUUUCCAACUAGAAGAAGCAGAAAUACUGUGGUUUAAAAGAACCAAGUCGUGCUGGUGAAAGAUAGGUCUGGUUGAUUUUAAGAACCAUACUGGGCAUAAAAGGAAGAGAAGUAAUUUUUUGUAAAUGGACCCCCUCGCUGAGUGGAAGUUACUGCCUGAAUCAGCUGCACACAAUAUAAACUCCUGGCAGGAGUUUCUCUGUGAGUCAGAUAUCAAAGUCUUCUACAAAGUGGGAUGGGCACUGUGGCAAGUUGGUAUAGCCACGUUUCUUGAACUGAAAAGGAUAAAAAGAUAAGUAGAAAGGCACACUGUGAAUGUCACGUAAUUAAAUACCUGGCCAAAAUGAGCAAGAGCUACCUUACCCUGAGCCUAGCUAGGUCAGUGUGUGGUGCUCACCUGGAAAGAGGAAUAAGAUCAAGUAGGUGUAAAACCCUCACAUAAGGGGUCUUACUGUGUGGGGUUCAGGGCUAGCCUGCUGACAUAAUAGUGACAUUGGAAAGCAAAGUCCUGCCACGGUCCCUCCAUCAAUAAUGGAAACAUGGAGGCAAGAUCUCCAAAAGCAGGGUACGCUGGAGAGGCAAGGCCCCUACUGGGGCUUGAGAAGGAAGAGAAAGGUGACAGAAUCAGAACAGACCAUGUCGGAGGCUUCACAAUAGCUGGGAGAAGUACAGAAUUUGGGCCUGGGCACAGUGUCUCGUGCCUGUAAUCCUAGCAGUCUGGGAGCCAAGAUGGGAGGAUCACUUGAGCCCAGGAGCUUGCGAUCAGCCUAGGCAACACAGAAAGACCCCAUCUCUACCAAAAAAAAAAAAAAAAAAAAAAAAAGCCGGAUGUGGUGGCGCAUGCCUGUAGUUCCAGCUACUUGGGUGAUUGAGGCGGGAGGAUUGCUUGAGCCCAGGAGGUUGAGGCUGUAGCGAGCCUUGAUUGCGCUGAGACCCUGUCUGGGGAAAAAAAAAAAUUUAGGAGAUGGAGUAUGAAUAAACAAAGCAACAUUCCCUGGUGCCACGCAAGGCUGCCUCCGCAGAGGCAUUCCUGUGCUUAGCUUGGUUCUAAGGCAGCUACACAGUGAAGGAAGCUGAUACUAGGAAGCAGGGAUGCUCCGUCUAGGCACUGGAAAGCCUGAAGUUUCCUAGGCCCCCUAGGGUAGAGUAAGAUGAAUCCAAUGGUCAGAGGGGACUGCAUUCUUGUAGAAAGGUGUCCAAGAACUUCCACUGGCAAGUCAACUGUAGGUGCCAAUCUACUUUUUGCAAAAGCUGUUGCAGUUUAGGACAAGAGUUACAAAUGCAAAAAAAAAAAAAAUCAUUUAGUUUUAUUGGACAAAGUCCAAAAAACUAAAUACACCAAAGCAAACCAAAAUUCUGUUCAUUUUCUGUUCGCAUCGUGCUGCUAAAAUGCAUGCCACACCCGACUGUUUUAGGUUUGGGCCCAAGGAGAAUUCCUUAUAAAUAAAAUCCAUAUUCCCCUGGCAUCCUUUAAGUCCUGGAGGCAGAACUGCACGUUCACCCUAGUAUCAUUCCAGUCCUCUCUUUUUGUAAACGACUACAACUACCAGAAGUCUAGUGGCUCAAAUUUCCCCUGGAGUUUUUUGUUACGUAAUUGCCAGAUUAAAAUAAUUUUGUGUAGCAAUAAAUUUA
rnacentral:lncRNA from 1 species